rnacentral:lncRNA from 1 species
CUUGAACACUUUUUAAUUAGGAAUAAUUGCCUAUAUACCCUCCUACGUUUGAAAAUAUUCGAUUUAUUCCUACUUUUUUUUCCUUUCUAAAAUACUCCUUAUAUGUUCCACCGUUAUUGCAAACUACCCCCGCAAUUAUACAUGUAAAAUUAAUUUGGGUUAAACGUGAGUUAAAUAUUUACCAUAGUUAAAAAAAAUUAAAAUAUCAAUUUUACCCUUAACUUAAGGGCAAAUAAAAAAUAUUGUUGACGGUAGAGGGGUAUAUUUGAUAAGACUAAAAGUCAAAAUACUUUUUGUGCCCUUGACUUAAGGGUAAAUAAAAAAAGUCGGUGAUGGUGGAAGGGUAUAUUUGAAAGGGCAAAAUAGUAAUUUUAUACCGAUAACAGAGUUCAUUAAUAGAUUUUAACUCUAGAGGUAUAUUUGAAAUAGGUUGGAACGUAAAAAGGGUAUUUUCAAUAUUAGUCUUUUAAGAGAGGUAAAUCAGAAAGUCGGAAACUUUUUAGGUAUAUAUAAGCAAUUGUCCCUAAUUUUUAAUUAAGGCCAUUUUAUACACUUU